ACUGAACGCUGGCGGCAUGCUUUACACAUGCAAGUCGAACGGUAACAGGGUGCUUGCACCGCUGACGAGUGGCGAACGGGUGAGUAAUGCGUCGGAACGUGCCGAGUAGUGGGGGAUAACGCAUCGAAAGGUGUGCUAAUACCGCAUACGUACUGAGGUAGAAAGUGGGGGACCUUCGGGCCUCACGCUAUUCGAGCGGCCGACGUCUGAUUAGCUAGUUGGUGAGGUAAAGGCUCACCAAGGCGACGAUCAGUAGCGGGUCUGAGAGGAUGAUCCGCCACACUGGGACUGAGACACGGCCCAGACUCCUACGGGAGGCAGCAGUGGGGAAUUUUGGACAAUGGGCGCAAGCCUGAUCCAGCCAUGCCGCGUGUCUGAAGAAGGCCUUCGGGUUGUAAAGGACUUUUGUCCGGGAGCAAAUACCCAGUGCUAAUAACGCUGGGGGCUGAGAGUACCGGAAGAAUAAGCACCGGCUAACUACGUGCCAGCCGGCCGCCGUAACAC
rnacentral:rRNA from 1 species